UACGUAGGGGGCAAGGGUUGUCCGGAUUUAUUGGGCGUAAAGAGCGUGUAGGCGGUCAGGUAGGUCCGUUGUGAAAACUCGAGGCUCAACCUCGAGACGCCGAUGGAAACCAUCUGACUAGAGUCCGGAAGAGGAGAGUGGAAUUCCUGGUGUAGCGGUGAAAUGCGCAGAUAUCAGGAAGAACACCCGUGGCUAAGGCGGCUCUCUAGUACGGUACUGACGCUGAGACGCGAAAGCGUGGGGAGCGAACAGG
rnacentral:rRNA from 1 species